CUGUUUGUACCAACUGCUAUUGUUUAGGUGUUAAUACAUGUUUCUUGUACUAGCCAUAAGUUUAAAUAUAUAUUGUGGCUUGUCUGGAGAUGGCUCUGUUUAAUUAGUUUCUUAGUUUUUUUUAUAUACUAUUGUGUCGUUGUCUACAGAGCUUGGCAACCAUUUAAUGAUUAGUGAUCAAUCGUGAUGUAUACCAUGCAUUUCUGUACAUAAUAUUACUUUAAUUAAAUUGUUGUUUGUGUUAUUAGAUAAAAUAGUUUACUAAUUAUAUUUUAGCUGUGGCAAAAUUCUUAUGAAAAAGAUUCUUCAGAUAUAAAUGAAAUAAGUGAAGUAGUUCCCUUAGCUUUGGAAAAUUUUCAAUGGAACAAUGUAACAAAUAGUUCUAUAAGCUGUUCUGAAACAUUUGCUCAUAUAAAUUUAGUUUCUUCUGGUGAUGAAACAGUUUUUUCGAAAGGAGGGACAUUUGAAAUUGAGUUUUCAAUUUCUGGUAAAGAAGAAGCUGCAUCUAAUUAUCCUCACCUGAUUUAUUCUGGAAACUCAACUCAACUUAAAGUUGUCUUCAACAAAUUUUACUCAAAUUCCUCUAGAAUACGAUAUGCUA